rnacentral:rRNA from 1 species
UACAGAGGUCUCAAGCGUUGUUCGGAUUUACUGGGCGUAAAGGGCGCGUAGGCGGCCCCCUGAGUCCCGCGUGAAAUCUCCCGGCUCAACCGGGAGGGUGCGCGGGAUACUGGGGGGCUGGAGGGCAUCAGAGGGAAGCGGAAUCCCCGGUGUAGUGGUGAAAUGCGUAGAUAUCGGGGGGAACACCAGUGGCGAAGGCGGCUUCCUGGGGUGUACCUGACGCUGAGGCGCGAAAGCGUGGGGAGCGAACCGG